AUAUAUAUAGAGAGAGAGAGAGAGAGCUAGGCUUCUAUGCUUUCGAAAAUACGGAACUCUCCGUAUUUGUAAGUUGUUUUCAAUAAUGGGACAUUCGAUUCGGCGAUCUGUUUCAUUAGGCAUAAUCUGCGCUAUUAGAACUACCUAGAAAUCAAAUUCCAUAAAUUUUUGACUUCGUUUGUCUAGUAAACAAAUAGCCUCAAAAUAAACGGCUGAAAAUAAAAAUCUAUAAAAAACAGUGAUAAAUGACUCAAAUUUCAAAUCGGAAGUAUUGGUCUUGCUAUUGAUGUUAAGUAGAAUUUUCUAUUAAAUUUUCAUCUAAUUUGGAUACUUCUACACCGUUGAACUUAAAAACGUGUCACAUAGGCCGUUAAAAUAGUCAUUUUUGAGACCUUUUAAUCGCUUGGUAAAUGAUGUCAAAAAAUUAUAAAAUUUGAUUUCUAAAUAGUUCCAAUAGAGUAGAUUAUAUUUAACGGAGCCGAUCGUCGCAUCGGAUUUUCUAUCAUCGAAAAUAAUUUACAAGCACAAAGGUCUCCGUACUUUCGAAAAAACAGAAGACUUUCUCUCUCUUUCUCUCUCUCUCUCUCUCUCUAUAU
rnacentral:lncRNA from 1 species